GACGAACGCUGGCGGCGUGCUUAACACAUGCAGGUCGAGCGGUAAGGCCCUUUCGGGGGUACACGAGCGGCGAACGGGUGAGUAACACGUGGGUGACCUGCCCUCAGCUCUGGGAUAAGCCUGGGAAACCGGGUCUAAUACCGGAUAUGACUCCAUGACGCAUGUUGUGGGGUGGAAAGCCUUGUGCGGCUGAGGAUGGGCCCGCGGCCUAUCAGCUUGUUGGUGGGGNGAUGGCCUACCAAGGCGACGACGGGUAGCCGGCCUGAGAGGGCGACCGGCCACACUGGGACUGAGACACGGCCCAGACUCCUACGGGAGGCAGCAGUGGGGAAUCUUGCGCAAUGGGCGAAAGCCUGACGCAGCGACGCCGCGUGAGGGAUGACGGCCU
rnacentral:rRNA from 1 species